ACUGCUCAGUAACACGUAGUCAACCUAACUCGUGGACGUGGAUAACCUCGGGAAACUGAGAAUAAACCACGAUAGAUCAUAGUGCCUGGAAUGGCUUAUGGUCCAAACAGUUUACUGCCAUGGGAUGGGACUGCGGCCUAUCAGCUUGUUGGUGAGGUAAUGGCCCACCAAGGCGAUUACAGGUACGGGCUCUGAGAGGAGAAGCCCGGAGAUGGGUACUGAGACACGGACCCAGGCCCUAUGGGGCGCAGCAGGCGAGAAACCUUAGCAAUGUGCGAAAGCACGACUGGGUCAGUCCGAGUGAUUCCUGAUAAAGGAGUCUUUUGCUUGUCCUAAAAGCACAGGUGAAUAAGGGGUGGGCAAGUCUGGUGUCAGCCGCCGCGGUAAUACCAGCACCUCGAGUGGUCAGGACGUUUAUUGGGCCUAAAGCAUCCGUAGCCGGCUUUGCAAGUCUUCGGUUAAAUCCACCUGCUCAACAGAUGGGCCGCUGGAGAUACUACAAAGCUAGGGAGUGGGAGAGGCAAACAGUAUUCAGUGGGUAGGGGUAAAAUCCUCUGAUCCAUUGAGGACCACCAGUGGCGAAGGCGGUCUGCCAGAACACGUUCGACGGUGAGGGAUGAAAGCUGGGGGAGCAAACCGGAUUAGAUACCCGGGUAGUCCCAGCUGUAAACGAUGCAAACUCGGUGAUGCAUUGGCUUAUGGCCAAUGCAGUGCCGCAGGGAAGCCGUUAAGUUUGCCGCCUGGGAAGUACGGACGCAAGUCUGAAACUUAAAGGAAUUGGCGGGGGAGCAC
rnacentral:rRNA from 1 species